rnacentral:rRNA from 1 species
UGGGGAAUUUUGGACAAUGGGCGCAAGCCUGAUCCAGCCAUGCCGCGUGCGGGAAGAAGGCCUUCGGGUUGUAAACCGCUUUGUCAGGGAAGAAAUCUUCUGAGUUAAUACCUCGGGAGGAUGACGGUACCUGAAGAAUAAGCACCGGCUAACUACGUGCCAGCAGCCGCGGUAAUACGUAGGGUGCAAGCGUUAAUCGGAAUUACUGGGCGUAAAGCGUGCGCAGGCGGUUUUGUAAGACAGAGGUGAAAUCCCCGGGCUCAACCUGGGAACUGCCUUUGUGACUGCAAGGCUUGAGUGCGGCAGAGGGGGAUGGAAUUCCGCGUGUAGCAGUGAAAUGCGUAGAUAUGCGGAGGAACACCGAUGGCGAAGGCAAUCCCCUGGGCCUGCACUGACGCUCAUGCACGAAAGCGUGGGGAGCAAACAGGAUUAGAUACCCUGGUAGUCCACGCCCUAAACGAUGUCAACUGGUUGUUGGGAAGGUUCCUUCUCAGUAACGUAGCUAACGCGUGAAGUUGACCGCCUGGGGAGUACGGCCGCAAGGUUG